AUUGAACGCUGGCGGCAGGCCUAACACAUGCAAGUCGAGCGGCAGCGGAAAGUAGCUUGCUACUUUGCCGGCGAGCGGCGGACGGGUGAGUAAUGUCUGGGAAACUGCCUGAUGGAGGGGGAUAACUACUGGAAACGGUAGCUAAUACCGCAUAACGUCGCAAGACCAAAGAGGGGGACCUUCGGGCCUCUUGCCAUCAGAUGUGCCCAGAUGGGAUUAGCUAGUAGGUGGGGUAAUGGCUCACCUAGGCGACGAUCCCUAGCUGGUCUGGGAGGAUGACCAGCCACACUGGGACUGAGACACGGUCCAGACUCCUACGGGAGGCAGCAGUGGGGAAUAUUGCACAAUGGGCGCAAGCCUGAUGCAGCCAUGCCGCGUGUAUGAAGAAGGCCUUCGGGUUGUAAAGUACUUUCAGCGGGGAGGAAGGUGUUGAGGUUAAUAACCUCAGCAAUUGACGUUACCCGCAGAAGAAGCACCGGCUAACUCCGUGCCAGCCGCCGCAGUAA
rnacentral:rRNA from 1 species